GUGACGUUCGGAUUAUUGGGCGUAAGAGCUCGUAGGCGGUUUGUCGCGUCUGCCGUGAAAGUCCGGGGCUCAACUCCGGAUCUGCGGUGGGUACGGGCAGACCAGAGUGAUGUAGGGGAGACUGGAAUUCCUGGUGUAGCGGUGAAAUGCGCAGAUAUCAGGAGGAACACCGAUGGCGAAGGCAGGUCUCUGGGCAUUAACUGACGCUGAGGAGCAAAAGCAUGGGGAGCGAACAGGAUUAGAUACCCUGGUAGUCCAUGCCGUAAACGUUGGGCGCUAGGUGUGGGGGACAUUCCACGUUUUCCGCGCCGUAGCUAACGCAUUAAGUGCCCCGCCUGGGGAGUACGGCCGCAAGGCUAAAACUCAAAGGAAUUGACGGGGGCCCGCACAAGCGGCGGAGCAUGCGGAUUAAUUCGAUGUAACGCGAAGAACCUUACCAAGGCUUGACAUGGGCCGGACCGGGCUGGAAACAGUCCUUCCCCUUUGGGGCCGGUUCACAGGUGGUGCAUGGUUGUCGUCAGCUCGUGUCGUGAGAUGUUGGGUUAAGUCCCGCAACGAGCGCAACCCUCGUUCCAUGUUGCCAGCGCGUAAUGGCGGGGACUCAUGGGAGACUGCCGGGGUCAACUCGGAGGAAGGUGGGGACGACGUCAAAUCAUCAUGCCCCUUAUGUCUUGGGCUUCACGCAUGCUACAAUGGCCGGUACAAAGGGUUGCGAUACUGUGAGGUGGAGCUAAUCCCAAAAAGCCGGUCUCAGUUCGGAUUGGGGUCUGCAACUCGACCCCAUGAAGUCGGAGUCGCUAGUAAUCGCAGAUCAGCAACGCUGCGGUGAAUACGUUCCCGGGCCUUGUACACACCGCCCGUCAAGUCACGAAAGUUGGUAACACCCGAAGCCGGUGGCCUAACCCCUUGUGGGAGGGAGCUGUCGAAGGUGGGACUGGCGAUUGGACUAAGUCGUAACAAGGUAACC
rnacentral:rRNA from 1 species